UACGUAGGUGGCAAGCGUUGUCCGGAUUUAUUGGGCGUAAAGCGCGCGCAGGCGGUUCUUUAAGUCUGAUGUGAAAUCUUGCGGCUUAACCGCAAGCGGUCAUUGGAAACUGGGGAACUUGAGUACAGAAGAGGAAAGUGGAAUUCCACGUGUAGCGGUGGAAUGCGCAGAUAUCAGGAGGAACACCGGUGGCGAAGGCGGGUCUCUGGGCAGUAACUGACGCUGAGGAGCGAAAGCGUGGGGAGCGAACAGG
rnacentral:rRNA from 1 species